GACGAACGCUGGCGGCGUGCUUAACACAUGCAAGUCGAACGGAAAGGCCCUGCUUUUGUGGGGUGCUCGAGUGGCGAACGGGUGAGUAACACGUGAGUAUCCUGCCCUUUACUUUGGGAUAACUUCAGGAAACUGGGGCUAAUACCGGAUAGGAGCUCCUGCUGCAUGGUGGGGGUUGGAAAGUUUCGGCGGUUGGGGAUGGACUCGCGGCUUAUCAGCUUGUUGGUGGGGUAGUGGCUUACCAAGGCUUUGGAGGGUAGCCGGCCUGAGAGGGUAGACGGCCACAUUGGGACUGAGAUACGGAGCAGACUCCAACGGGAGGCAGCAGUGGGGAAUAUUGCACAAUGGGCGGAAGCCUGAUGCAGCAACGCCGCGUGCGGGAUGACGGCCUUCGGGUUGUAAACCGCUUUAGCCUGUGACGAAGCGUGAGUGACGGUAAUGGGUAAAGAAGCACCGGCUAACUACGUG
rnacentral:rRNA from 1 species